UCUGCUUGGGCGUCUCGGAGGAGAGCACCUGACUGCUGAAGGACACUUUACCUGCAUGGAUCGGCUGGAUUAUUACCUGAGUGACACCUGGGAAGGCUGCUGCUGUGGAUUAUUACAGAUUAGUUCCUGAUUUAAUGAGGCUGUCACCUGAAGUAUCUUCCUGUGUUUUGGAGACCGGUGCACUGGAACACACCAUGAUGUCCUGUCUGCAAUAAGAAGCCAGUGGGAGAGUUUCAGAGUUUAGGACAUGUGCCUGAAUGCAC
rnacentral:lncRNA from 1 species